CAAGGAAGCUAACCCAACAUGGAGAGAUCAAACCCCAAAUCUGCAUUAAAGACAAAAGAUCAGCUGAAAGACAAAACUUCCAAAGUUGCACCAAAGCCUCCAGCCAAGGAAAAUACAAGGCCACAAGAAUUCAAGCUUCACACUGGACAGAGAGCUGUUAAGCGUGCCAUGUUCAAUUAUUCCGU